CCUAAUUCCAUAAUAAAGCACCAACUUUACAUAAAAUCAAGCAUAUUAUUACUGGCAGCUGAGUACAACAGAUAUUACUAGUAAACUCCUCGAGCAACAGCCACAAGAUAAAUAGUAACUGCCCAAAUAUCCAAGACAGUUGCAGGACUUGUUACUGAAGGCCAAGCUCACUAAUCCGUGUUUGGCUAAACUGAACCUUCCAGUUAGAACUUAAGGCCAAUCCCGAAUCACAAUAACUUUUUACUGCAAUAGUUUGUGCCCUUCAAUGCUAAAUCGUACCGCAAACUCAAGAGACUUCGUCACAACGUCAACACGAGGUGUAAUCAUUGAGAAACAGGGAAAAGGAGAGAGAGGAGAGAGCUUAGUCAAAAGGAGGGGAACAUGUGGGACACGGAAGAAGAAAAUGAAGGCAUAAAGAAGACAAAGGAAAGAAAGAGAAAAAAGACAGGGAGACGUAAAGACGAGAAGAAAGUAAGGGGGAGAGAAUGAGCGUUACAAAGCAAGAGAGGAAAAGGGAAUAAGAAAAUAGAUGGAGCGGAGCAAUUGAGGGAAAGAGAGAGGAAGCUGCAUGCGCUUCGUCAUUUUAAGUUGGGUACGGAGCCCGACCCGUUUGGAGGAUUUUCAUUUGUUCAAAUUUUGCUUUCAAUUGGUGAGAAGUAUGUAAGUUUGACCAGUUUGACUACUUGGAGACUUUUGUUUAUAUUGCGCACAGAGGUGGGAUUUCUUUCGGCCGUACAAAAGAAGGGGCCAUAUAUACUCUUGAGGAAAAAAAAAAGGUGUGGCCAUUUUCUUUAUGGAGACUGGCGUUUCAAGCUAUGAGUUAACUCCCCGUUAGGCCAAAAUACCGCAGGUUUAAAU
rnacentral:lncRNA from 1 species